UACGUAGGGCGCAAGCGUUAUCCGGAAUUAUUGGGCGUAAAGAGCUCGUAGGCGGUUUGUUGCGUCGGCUGUGAAAUCCCGAGGCUCAACCUCGGGUCUGCAGUCGAUACGAGCAAACUAGAGUGUUGCAGGGGAGACUGGAAUUCCUGGUGUAGCGGUGAAAUGCGCAGAUAUCAGGAGGAACACCGGUGGCGAAGGCGGGUCUCUGGGCCGUAACUGACGCUGAGGAGCGAAAGCGUGGGGAGCGAACAGG
rnacentral:rRNA from 1 species